GACGAACGCUGGCGGCGUGCUUAACACAUGCAAGUCGAGCGGAAAGGCUCCUUCGGGGGUACUCGAGCGGCGAACGGGUGAGUAACACGUGAGUAAUCUGCCCUUCACUUUGGGAUAGCCCUCCGAAAGGGGGAUUAAUACCGGAUAUGUCCACAUGUCGCAUGGUGUGUGGUGGAAAGUUUUUUCGGUGGGGGAUGUGCUCGCGGCCUAUCAGCUUGUUGGUGGGGUAAUGGCCUACCAAGGCUUCGACGGGUAGCCGGCCUGAGAGGGUGCACGGUCACACUGGGACUGAGACACGGCCCAGACUCCUACGGGAGGCAGCAGUGGGGAAUAUUGGACAAUGGGCGGAAGCCUGAUCCAGCAACGCCGCGUGAGGGAUGACGGCCUUCGGGUUGUAAACCUCUUUCAGCUCCGACGAAGCUGCUCUUUUGGGUGGUGACGGUAGGGGCAGAGGAAGCCCCGGCUAACUUCGUGCCAGCCGCCGCCGUAAUAC
rnacentral:rRNA from 1 species